AGAGUUUGAUCAUGGCUCAGAACGAACGCUGGCGGCAGGCCUAACACAUGCAAGUCGAGCGCCUCAGCAAUGGGGAGCGGCAGACGGGUGAGUAACACGUGGGAACGUGCCCCAAGGUACGGAACAACUCCGGGAAACUGGAGCUAAUACCGUAUGUGACCGACAGGUGAAAGAUUUAUCGCCUUGGGAUCGGCCCGCGUCUGAUUAGCUAGUUGGUGGGGUAAUGGCCUACCAAGGCGACGAUCAGUAGCUGGUCUGAGAGGAUGAUCAGCCACAUUGGGACUGAGACACGGCCCAAACUCCUACGGGAGGCAGCAGUGGGGAAUCUUGGACAAUGGGCGCAAGCCUGAUCCAGCCAUGCCGCGUGGAUGAUGAAGGCCUUCGGGUUGUAAAAUCCUUUCGGCGGGGACGAUAAUGACGGUACCCGCAGAAGAAGCCCCGGCUAACUUCGUGCCAGCCGCCGCGGUAAUAC
rnacentral:rRNA from 1 species